GGGAUGGUGGCUCAGUAGUAGAACGCUUGCCUUGCAUGCAUGAGGCCCUGGGUUCGAUUCCCCAGCAUCACA
rnacentral:tRNA from 1 species